rnacentral:rRNA from 1 species
UACGUAGGGUGCGAGCGUUAAUCGGAAUUACUGGGCGUAAAGUGUGCGCAGGCGGCGUCGCAAGUCGAGUGUGAAAGCCCCGGGCUUAACUUGGGAAUUGCGCUCGAAACUACGAUGCUGGAGUGUGGCAGAGGAAGGUGGAAUUCCACGUGUAGCGGUGAAAUGCGUAGAGAUGUGGAGGAACACCAAUGGCGAAGGCAGCCUUCUGGGCCAAUACUGACGCUCAUGCACGAAAGCGUGGGGAGCAAACAGG